rnacentral:pre_miRNA from 1 species
AGCACUGCCCCCGGUGAGUGAGGGUGUGGCAGCCCCUAGCUCGCCCCCGGCUGGUCCCUGACCUUCUGUGCCCACCCUCAGGAGUU